UACGAAGGGGGGCUAGCGUUGUUCGGAAUUACUGGGCGUAAAGCGCGCGCAGGCGGUCUUCCAAGUCAGUGGUGAAAGCCCGGAGCUCAACUCCGGAACUGCCAUUGAAACUGUGAGACUUGAGGAUGAGAGAGGUGAGUGGAAUUCCCAGUGUAGAGGUGAAAUUCGUAGAUAUUGGGAAGAACACCAAUCAGGCGAAGGCAGUUAACUAUUCUAUUCCUGACAUUGAGGCAUGAAAGCGUGGGGAGCAAAACGG
rnacentral:rRNA from 1 species